rnacentral:rRNA from 1 species
CCUACGGGCGGCAGCAGUGGGGAAUAUUGGGCAAUGGGCGCAAACCUGACGCAGCAACGCCGCGUGAAGGAAGAAGGCUUUCGGGUUGUAAACUUCUGUUCUCAGGGACGAAGCAAGUGACGGUACCUGAGGAAUAAGCUACGGCUAACUACGUGCCAGCAGCCGCGGUAAUACGUAGGAGGCAAGCGUUAUCCGGAUUUACUGGGUGGAAAGGGCGGGUAGGCGGGGCCGCAAGUCAGAGGUGAAAACCACGGGCUCAACCUGUGGCCUGCAUUUGAAACUGUGUUUCUUGAGUACUGGAGAGGCAGACGGAAUUCCUAGUGUAGCGGUGAAAUGCGUAGAUAUUAGGAGGAACACCAGUGGCGAAGGCGGUCUGCUGGACAGCAACUGACGCUGAGGCGCGAAAGCGUGGGGAGCAAACAGGAGUAGAUACCCUUGUAGUC